CCUGGUUGAUUUCCUUUGUUGAGUAGCAGUGGUAGGUUCAACAGAAACAAGUUGAGAAGAAAAAAUAACAGGGUCUGGAACAAUAGAAGGAGGAGAUGUAGGUGGUAAAGAGGGUUGAUUAGUAGCUUCUGAGGAAAGAAGUGAUGGAGAGGAAAUGAUUUUGGUGACAAAAUCCAAGGAAUUUGAAUUUUGUGUAUCAAUAGGUAAGUGUUUGCCACUAGUAAGAAAAGGAAAUAUGUUUUCAUAAAAUACCACAUGCCUUAAUAGAAAAUCUUCCCUUGUGUUGAAAUCUAACAAAAGGUAGCCUUUCACUCCUUUUUUAAAACCAAG
rnacentral:lncRNA from 1 species